rnacentral:lncRNA from 1 species
UUUUUUUUUUUUUUUUUGCUAUUUGUUCAAAAGGUAAUUUUCAAACUUUUCUUUUUUUCAGGUUGAAAAGUACAGGUAGAAGCCACUGAAGCUGUAAAGCUCUGAUGCUGGUAUUUUAACUGACUUACACCAACUAUCACUCUGCAGUUUACAAUACACAAGAACCUUUAAUGAGGUCACAGUUCUCACGUAACUUGUAGCAACCUGGUGUCUGUGCAGUGGCUUAGAAGUUAGAGCAGUGGGAUCCUGCUGGUGGUUUAAUUCUCACAAGUCUGUGAAGAGGGUACUGUUUCUCUUUUUGCAUUUGAGGCAGUCACUUAAGGUUCCAUCACAUAUGCCCAGGAAGCCUUGCAGCUACUUUUUUCCCUGUGUAACUGUUAGAAAGUCACUUAUCCUUCUUGAGACUUAGUGUCCUGGUAUAACAGGAGAAGUAUUUAAACAUGGGUUAGGUCACUUUGGUGGGGAAAGACCACAGAGCUACUGAGAAUAUAAACUCUUCAUAGUAUAUACUUGAACCUCUAAGAAAUUAAAAUUUAGCACAAAGGGAACAUAACCUCAGCAUGCUAAACGUUUUUGAUGAAUGUAGCAUGAUGAGCUGUAAAAAAGGAAUUUAAAGGACCCAAUGAUGCUAGAUUAUUAAAAUAUGAGUAUUGGGGUGAUGGGGGAGGUUUUCCUAUGGGAAGAAAUGUGUCGCAAGAUGAACAGAACCCAGUUCCUGUCGAUCAGCUCUGGAUGUCUACAAUACCUCAUUUUCCAGAAUCUUAAAUAAAGGUAUUUAUUUCAUUAUGCUUGUUUCAAAAUUGCUCGAGAGCCUCUGUCCAAACUUCAUUUUUAAAAAUAUUCCAUAUUAUCCUGUAAAGUCUUAAUUUAGGUCAUUCAACAAAUACAUUGGAAAGGCAUAAUUGCUCAAGGGAAAAAAGGGGGAGGGAAAUAGGAAGGGCAUGUAUAUGCAAGAUACGUGAAAGGAUAUGACUUGAGAUAGAACUGGUUGGUGAAUGACUGCCGGAGACCUGGAGAGAGAUGUGGUUGAGCCUUGAGCAACAUGAACAUUGAACAUGGAUGGUUUUCCAUGGUAAAUACUAUGUACUACAUGGUCCGUGGUUGAUGGAUUUGUGGAUAAGGAGAGUUGAGUAUAAAUUAUUCGGAUUAACCCCUGCAUUAUAUAUAUAUAUGGGUGCAGAGCAUUUCUGGCAGAGGAAUGAUCUUAAAGGUUUGGGGGAAAAGCAAAGUGAAGCUGCAGAGAAGGGGCCUUAAGGAAACAUUACAUGACAGUUCUUCUGUGGGACUAGGCAGAUAUUUUAGACCAUUUUAAAAGAGUGACUUGUUUUCUGGCCUCUCAGUUCUCUGAAUGUUAUAACUUAACCUAGAAUGCAGCCUACCAGCCAUGUGCUUUCCUGCUUUCCUGUGGGCGCUGUUUCCCCUCCCAGGUGCUCUUGGUCUGGAUUUCUAUAGCAUCCUGUAAUAGCCUUACACUUGGAAGCACAUUUUGUAGUUGCUUGUGUGCUUGUCCCAACAUCCUGCAGGCUCUGGACUAGGACAGAUAGCCCAUCCCCCUUGGUUCCCACCAUAUUCCUGGGAUCUGACCAAGUGCCUGGUAUAUUAUAGAUUCUCAUAUCUAACUUGAGCCCCAAACCCAUGAUGACUGUAGUACAAGGAGCAGUAUCAUUUAUAAUUCAUUUUAAUAGCAUUAUUGUAUUGACUCAUAAAUUGCAUUCAAGUGAGUGGCCACCUACCUAGUCUCAGGGCCAGCAUAGUAAGCCUGGUUUCAGAUCCCUAUCCUUGCAGUUUCUUAGCUUCCAUUUCUUUAGCUGGUAAUCCUAGUCACCAAAGCUGAGUUUAUACAUAGUGUAUCUAACUUCCUUGUGAGCAGUAAGCACUUAGGAUCAUUUUUAUAUAUCAUUGUAACUGGAUCAAAAUGAAAACUGGACCAAGGAAAUUUCAAUGUCUUCUAGCUAUUGUCACAACAAAAGAUGUUGUGAAACUACACUGUUUGUCUGAAGGCGCCAGCAAAGUUCCCAAGGAUAACCACUGGUUUCACAAUCUGGCUCCAUUUCAUUGAGUCCCGAAGGAGGGCUGGGCGAACAGGUGAAGACCCUGAGUCGGCCACGGAUGCCUCCCUCUCCCAGUAACCAACCUCAACCCGUGCAGUCCUGUUCAUAGUUUGGUUUUGGGUGAAAACCAAAAGGACCAAAAGUCUUCUGGACUGAACAAUGGCAGGUGAAAGAUGUGAGUGGUUUUUAUUGCCAAGGGGCGAAACUGGAAGGACGGGGUGGGGGGGCACUUCCUGUGCCAGUUAUCUGCUGUAGUGACCACACUGGGUCUUUAACUGGCUGCUAUUUAAGUCAAAACUAAAAAUUGAGCACCCCCCUGUCCAGGUCGCACUGCUCCCAUUUCAAGAGCUCAGUAGCCGCCUGUGGCCAGUGGCUACUGUACAGGACAGAUGUACAGAACACUUCCGUUACUGCAGAAAGUUUUUGCACAUGUGGUUAAGGGUCUUGGGGUGAGGAGACGAUCUUGGGUCAUAAAAGGGAAGCAGAAAGAUUUUCGUGCACAAAGGAGACCAUGUGAAGAUGAAGCAGAGACCUGAUGUUGGCCUUGAAACUGGAGUGAUACAGCUUCAAGCUGAGGGAGCCUCUGAGCCAUCAGAAGCUGGAAGGUGUGAGGAAUAUUUUUCUUCCUGACCUCCCAGAGCCUCCUGAGGAGCAUACAUUUUAUUUGAUCCAGGGGAAUUGGUUUCUGACUUCUGGUCUCCACAAUUGUGAGAGAACACACACCUGCUGUUUAAGCCACCAAGUGUUACAGCAGCCUCAGGUGACUAAUGCUGAUGGAAAACUUGAGGUCACAAGUACAGCCUGAGCUGGAACUUGCCACACCACACUGCUUCCUACACUGUUUCACUAGUGCCUGAUGGGUGAGUAGGAGAGGGUAGACCUUAUCUAUUCAUGAGUCAAUUUAAAAAUUUUUCAGAGGUAUGGCAAUAAAGGUUUACAUCAUGAGACAUCAGCAUGUGGCUAAAAUAUGGAGGGAGUAGCAAAGGUUCAUAAAAAAACAGAUUAUCAAAACAUAAGAAUGUAUGGUUUAUUAGGAUGUCAAGUACGUAUAUACUUUAUUACAUAGUACAAAACACCAUCUUAAAUGCAAGUUGUAAAAAUUCAGUAACAGGAACUAAGAAAACAUGAAAAAUUAUUCUAAGUUUUUGCCUUGUAAACCAAGGGAGUGAAUCCACCCUCCAGGCCAGUGAUCAAAUCUGCACCUCUGCAGCAAUGCUAGUUCUCUGAGGUCACUGCCACAAGGCCCUGGAUUAAGUCAUCUAUAGUCUGUAAUGCUGGUUUAUCUGGGCAGCAACAAUAAAGAUAUUGACUGAUUAGAGCAUCUUACUAGAGACUGGUAAGGAAACUGGGGCAGCAAAGAUCCAAGUUCCUAAAUAAACUCUUGUUGACUCAAUAUUCUUAUGAGGAGGAACAUGAUUUAACUAGCUCCUUAACUAAAAUGCUAAUGUUAACACAAAAACAUAUCUGAAAUACUUUUCCUUGCAUUAUUUUCUUUAAACGUUUAAAGUGAAACCAUUUUCAUCUAUUCUGUAUAACAAUACAUAACACUGAUCUCUUAUGAUGCAGCAGGUUAAGGAUCCGGAGUUGUCCUUGUAGUGGCUUGGUUUUGAUCCUGGCCCAGGAACUUCCACCUGCCAUGGCAAUAAGAAAAAAAACAAAGAGUAACAUUGAGCUCUAGCUCCCUGUUGACAGUGUAACUCCCAGCCUGCAGGUAACCUACUUGUUACUCAAAUGAGCUCAGCUUGAAAUAAGAGAAAUGCUCCCAUGUUUAGCUGCUCAUUCGGAGCUAACGAUUUGCUAGGAUCCUCCCAAUAAACUAGCCCUAUGCUCUCUACUUUGUCACACUCGACUCUAAAGGUUUCACUCUGCUUAAAUCAUUGUACCUAUAGAGCUGAUGAAAAAUGAGGAAGCUCAGCUCAUUUUUGUUCCUCCAAGACCAAUGAAAAAAAUUGUAGGACUGCCCUGAAUAUCCACCCAAGUGGUGGUUCCAGUGAAACUCUGUUUUGGUUUGGCCUCUCUCUACAGGAUCAUCAACCACAACAGCUAGGAUUUUUUUCCCUCCGGAGCAAGCUUUCUUUCAGAAUGAGUCUUGACUGUCUAAAUUUAGCUUUUCAGCUAUUUUUUUACAGUUAAAUUGGCUAUCUGAGCAAACCAAAUUCCUGACCCCCUCCACAUUGUCAUAUGUCCUGUGGGUGACUAGAAAGCCACUUCUUGCAUCAUUGUGGGGGUCAGCUCUGCCUUCUUUAAACUUUUUUUUUUUUUGCUUCUUAGGGCCACACUCCAGGCACAUGGAAGUCCCCAGGAUCCCUAGGCUAGAGGUCAAAUCAGAGCUGGAGCUGCAGCUGCCAGCCUAUGCUUCAGCAUCUAGGGAUCUGAGCCCUGUCUUGAGACUUACACACCACAGCUUACAGCAAACGCCGGAUCCUUAACCCACUAAGCGAGGCCAGGGAUUGAACCUGCUUCUUCAUGGAUCCCAGUUGGGUUUGUAACCAGCUGAGCCACAACAGGAACUCCCUUCUUUAAACCUUUUAUUGCCAGCCCCAAACUCUUGCUCUUGAUAUUACUUCUUCACCAUAAACCUUUAACAUUUCAAGUAUCUUGCAGAUUUAUUUAACAUCACACAAGAUUUAGUAUAAACUUUUUACUCUAAAUAACCAUCACUCAUUUUUAUGGUAAAAAAAAAAAUUCUACUUACAAAGUUAGCUGGUGACCUUGAAAGCACUGUUAGGCCAGCUGAAACGUUAUAACAUCCCUGGCAACAAUCACUCCUCUGAUUUCACAAGCCACACAUGAAAACUUAGUCAAAAUUAAAACAGAGGCAUUCCCUUUGUGGCUAAAUGGGCUAAGAUCCUGAUGCUGUCUCUCUUGAGGAUAAGGGUUCAAUCCCUGGCCUCACUCAGUGGGUUUAGGAUCUGGCGUUGCAUGAGCUGUGGUGUAGGGGGCAGACUUGGCUCGGAUCCCGAGGUGCUAUGGCUGUGGUGUAGGCUGGCAGCAGCAGCUCCAAUUCGACCCCUAGCCUGGACACUUUUCAUAUGCUACACGUGCGGCCCUAAAAAGAAAAAUAAAUAAAGUGGAAGAGUGCAAAUAAUAUUUGGAGAAGCUGAUAAAGGUUUUGGCGUCGUAAUAUCUCAGCUCAAAUGCCUUCUAUUUCCCACCUACAAAGGGGGAGGAAAUAAAUAAAUCAGCAUUUUCUCACUUGUCAUAUUAAGAGUAAAAUGAUACUUGAAAUAUGUUAAGUAUAUUAUGUGCAGGGAGCAUUUACCCUGCUCUUCCACCCCGCAAAGAACCUAAGACAUCAUGGAAGCUACCACUUAGUUGUCUAUUUAGAAUGAGCUAGUUUGAAAUAACUUUUCUAUUGAUGGUGAUUGAUAGUGAGGCCAAAUGCAAGACACUAAAAUAAUUUCCAAAUACCUAAUGAGAAUGGAUGCUGUUGUCGCCAGCCUGUAUAAUACAAUGUGUGGUUGGAUAGCGAGGAAUUCUAACCCUCAAGUAUUGUUAUCCAUGUUCAUCCUGCAAAUGCUACUUAGUGCAUUCAGUUUAAAACAAAUGCACAUACACUGAAAAGUAGCAUCUGGUAAGCUUUCAACAUGAGUGUCUUUUCAUUUAGUUCUCAAAGCAUGAAAAGGUUUUUACAAAUGCUAAUUGUCCAAUGUAGAUGCUGGAAUUAAAAUUAAAACGAGGUUUUCCAGUGAUUGGUUGUGAUCUUAGAGCUCUUGUAUCUGUUGAGCUCUUUGCUUUUCGUUUUUAUGGUAGAGAAACAUGCAUUAUAUAAAUCUUUUAGCCAUUAUGAGUGUACAAUUCAGUGGUGUUAAUUACACGCACAAAGUUGUGCAACUAUUAUUUCCAGAAUAUUUCCAUCAUCUCAAACAAAUUCUGUACCUAUUAUAUAGUACCUCCCCAUUCUCUCCUCUCCCUAGCCCCUGGUAAUCCCUAAGAGUCUCUGAAUUUAACUACACUACCUCCUAAGAGUGGAAUCAUGUCGUUGUACCUGGCUUAUUUCACUUACGUUUUCAAGGCUCACCCAUGUUGUAGCAGUCAUUAUUCAUUCCUUUUUAAGGCUGAAUAAUCCAGUGUGUGUGUGUGUGUAUAAAUGCAAUGUUAUGCAUAUAUAUAUAACAUACAUAUACAAAAUGUGGCAUAUAUAUAUAUAUGUCAUCUCUAGAUGGACAUUUGGGUUGUCACCUUUUGGCUGUUGGGAAUAUUGUUGCUAUGAACAUGGGUGUACAAGUAUCUGUUUGAGUCCCUGCUUUCAAUUCUUUUGGGUAUCUAUACCCAAGAAGCAAAAUUGCUGGAUCAUCUGGUAACUCUGUAAUUUUUGGAGGAGCAGUCAGACUGUUCUCCACAGCAACGAUACCAUUUUACAUUCCCACCAGGGAUGCACCAGGUUCCAAUUUCUCCACAUCCCUGCCAACACUUUUUAUUUUCUAACAUCUUUCACAAUGGCCUGUGAUGAUUCAGUCCCCUACAAGGUAUUUUCUUCCCAAAUCCCCUCUGCCUCCCCUCGCCUCCCCUCUCCUCCCCCUCUUCUUGAUGUGCUUUUGCUUCAGUGAAAAUAGACUCAGGCUCAAGACUUUUCCUUUGUAUUAAGUACUUAAGGUAACUUUGUGGUUUGCCAAGUGCAAGAAUUCAGUGCAUACUUACAUGUUCCUUUACUGGAGGAAUCUGCAUUACCUUUUUAGGCGGCGAAUAGGGCUGCUUUCCGCAUUAAGAAACGAACUUCACAAUGUAGAUGUGACCCUGAUCUCAGAGAGACAUCAGUGAACCAAGGCUUGAAGCGAGCUCUUAAGUCUCUGCUCAGGAAUUGAACCUGGGCAGCCUGGGUGAAAACCAGGAAUCUUAGCCACUAGAUCAGCUAGCUAGAGGCUAGAAGCAGAAUUGCCUGGAUUCUUGCCCCCCUGUUGAAAGCAAGAAUGUAAAAGCAGAUACAAAGUUUAUUGUUAGAAACUCAAUACAACACGUGGGAGAGCGCACAGAGAAGUAGUCUAUUUAUCUAAGGCCAAAGUAAAGCAGUCAUACACACUGAAAGGUGUGUGGUGCGGGCAUCCCCCGGAAUAAGGAGCGUGCCAGAGAGGUGAUUUAAAUCACAUAUAUGGGACAGUUCUUCCAAGUCUUUGUUUUUCUUUGGCCAAUUAUCUUGUUUUAUUUUUCACACCUGACAAGACCCAGGGCCCUACCUGAUCUGCGGGUGGAUCUUUUGGCCAAGAUGGGUAUCAGAACAAGGGCUUAUGGGAAGGUUAGCUAGACUUACUAUGGCCUGGUGCUGCACAUCCCCCCCGCCUCCUUCUAACCCAGAGGGGUCUUUCUGCUUAUGUACAGUUUGGGUCUUCCUGAACCCAGAAUGGUAAGUAUGUGUCAUCACCACUGUUUAACAAGUUCACAUAAGAUAAGUGAACUAAUUAUUUGCUUUUUGCUUGUUGCUAUUUCUAUCAUGGAAGUAUAAGUAGGUGGCUGGAUGUAAAUGUUUAUCUGAGAGCUCACCUAUGUCCCGCCUCAGGAAGUAUAAAUAGGAGGCUGGUUGUUAAGGUCUGUCCCAGAGCCCAUCUAUCUCCUGCCUCAAUCCUGCCCUCCCUUAAACUAUCUGUACAUCAGCUUAAUAAGGGCGAGCUCGAAACAGGCUGGGAUAAGAACUCACCAUUUAAGCAAGGCUUGCCCACAAUUUCUAAUUCAAAUGUCCCAAGGUUUCAAACCGUUCAACACAGAUGGAGGAGCGUCAGGGCCUACCAGGUGGCGCUUUACUACCUUGGGUUUCUUCUGCCAAGCGGCAGCAGAGCCACACUCCUGGUGAACCUCCGCUCCACGAGGAGAAAACUGGGAACGCCAGGUAAAGCCCGAAUUCUGUCAGCUGAGACCCCACUGCCCCAGCCGCGCCUCACCUGGGCCUCCGCGUUCAGACAGGCAGCUCCCAGCCUGCGGCGUCAAACGCCCUGGCCACGCUCGCUGCCCCUCAACGAUCCUCCACUCACCGUUCCGCAGGAGAUGGAAACCACAAGCUGCU